rnacentral:rRNA from 1 species
AUUGAACGCUGGCGGCAGGCCUAACACAUGCAAGUCGAGCGGAUGAAGGGAGCUUGCUCCUGGAUUCAGCGGCGGACGGGUGAGUAAUGCCUAGGAAUCUGCCUGGUAGUGGGGGAUAACAUCCGGAAACGGGCGCUAAUACCGCAUACGUCCUGAGGGAGAAAGUGGGGGAUCUUCGGACCUCACGCUAUCAGAUGAGCCUAGGUCGGAUUAGCUAGUUGGUGGGGUAAAGGCCUACCAAGGCGACGAUCCGUAACUGGUCUGAGAGGAUGAUCAGUCACACUGGAACUGAGACACGGUCCAGACUCCUACGGGAGGCAGCAGUGGGGAAUAUUGGACAAUGGGCGAAAGCCUGAUCCAGCCAUGCCGCGUGUGUGAAGAAGGUCUUCAGAUUGUAAAGCACUUUAAGUUGGGAGGAAGGGCAGUAAGUUAAUACCUUGCUGUUUUGACGUUACCAACAGAAUAAGCACCGGCUAACUUCGUG